rnacentral:rRNA from 1 species
GACGAACGCUGGCGGCGUGCUUAACACAUGCAAGUCGAACGAAGUGGCGAACGGGUGAGUAAUACGUGGGUAACCUGCCCUCCUUUUUGGGAUAAGCCUUGGAAACGGGGUCUAAUACCGAAUAAAGGGGGAUGGGCUCGCGGCCUAUCAGCUUGUUGGUGGGGUGAUGGCCUACCAAGGCGGUGACGGGUAGCCGGCCUGAGAGGGUGGCCGGCGACAUUGGGCGUGAGAUGCGGCAGGGACGACUAAGGGAGGGAGCAUGGGGGGUGUGUGGACAAUGGGUGUAAGCCUGAUGCAUCGGCGCCGCGUGGGGGAUGAAUGCUGUGGGGUGGUAAACCUCUUUCGCUAUCGACAGGGUACGUGGCUAAGUAGUGCCGGCUAACUACGUGCCAGCAGCCGCGGUAAUAC